rnacentral:lncRNA from 1 species
CUGGCAUCUUGGAUACCAGCUCAGCCACAGCAAGACAGGGAGAUCAGUCCUGAGGCUCCUGUUACCGGCCCUAGUUGCCAGAUGACAUUUCUAAGCAUGCCCUAGGCCAGAAGAAAAUCCACUACCUUGAAGGAGAAGAUCCAGUCCUGGAAACCUUCAUCACCUGCUAAUUGAAGAGCCCUUGGGCCCUGAAUAACCAGCAGCAAUACCCAGGUACUACAAGGACCUUAGUAAGCCUCUAAGACUUGCUGGCUUCAAUUGAGACUCAGCACAUUCCCAGCUGUGCUGGCUAUAGUACAAAACUUCCGCUUGAGAAAAGCAGAGGGAAAAGUAAAUGGGACUUUGUCUUGCACCUCAGGUACCAAAAUCAUCACAGGAAGGUAGAGCACCCACCAUGCUUUUGGGGUGUCCAACUUCAGGACUUGACUCUUGGACAGCAUUUCUGGACCUGCCCUGCGCCAGAGGAAAGCCCACUGGCCUAAAGGAGAUGGAGUCUCACUCUGUCGCUCAGGCUGGAGUGCAGUGGAAUGAUCUCGGCUCUCAAGAUCUAGCAAUUCUCCUGCCUCAGCCUCCCAAGCUCAGCAAAAUAGGAUGCAGGUCUCCCUGUCUUGAAGAGAUGGAGUUGUGUGUUUAAAAGGAUGAAGGCAAUCAAUAUCACAAUGCCAAGUAUUGAAAAGAGGAGAGCUGCACAGAGUGAGAGCUCUGAAGAUAUGCAGAGGAUGCCCGUGAAAUCUCCUCAGUGAUGAUUGGCCUAUGAGUAUAAAGACAGGGAA